ACCCGUCACGCGCGCCGUCUCGCGACGCGCGUGACAAGCAGACACAACACCGUGCCUUGGGAAGAAAAGGGCACGUCAGGGCGUU
rnacentral:sRNA from 1 species